AUGGAAGUGUGUGCACGAUCAGCUGGGAAGAUGACUAAGUUAGAGGGUUACUGCGAAUCCGGGUUAGAUCUAUGGGUCGAUUUAAAGGUAAUCAAGAAAAAUGUAAUGGGGAUUGUGACUGAACAGAAAUACAUGUUUUUUCAUAUAUUUGUGUGCAAUAUUUGUAUAUCUUCUUUUGGUUUUUUUGGCUGGGAUUAUCGGAUGUGAAGAACGUGGCAAAUCUUAUAGUAUCAUCUUGAUCUACUUUGAAUUUGUGCCAUGUUAACCUCACUCUUACUUCUCAUGGAUUUUGAGUUUCAUUUUACUUUAAAUUUUUUAUUUAUUUAUAUUUUUAUAAAACUCGAUAUCUUCUUCCUUUUGGCUAAUUUUCAGAUAGAUAGCAAUCCAGAAAAUGAUUUAGAUCAUAAUGACUUGCCUCAACCCAUUGCGUCCCCUCAAGGCUCUUCAACAAGAGGGCAACUCUCAGAUUUGGGGUCACAACCAAUUCUUGGAAGCAAUUUUGAUACUGAUGAAAGAGGCAGUGAUCUACUCAUGUCAGCCUCUCCAGAUGCUGAUGUGAGUAAAAUCAAAAUCAGCGAACGAGCUUCUGAAGCGAUGGAAGAGCUUUUAAGCUUGGCUUUGGCUCAAGAUCCCCUUUGGCAAGUUGACAAGGAAAACAAUACUGAAAUGCUAAGUGAUGUCGAGUAUAUGAGAAUGGUUAAGGUGAGAGAAUGUCAAUCGCCCCCAAGCUUGGACGUUGACAACUCUCAUGAACUUGAACCACUUCUUGCAGUUAGUUCUGAAUCUUCACGAGCAGUUGAGUACUUCAAAACGAGUCCUAUCAGCAUUAUUGAACUUUUGAUGGAUUUGGUAGGUUCUCUUUUUAUUAAACUAAUUUAGUGUUUUUCUAUGAAACACGUUUGAUUGCUUAUAUUUUGAUUGAUAAUCAGGAGCAAUGGUCACUUGCCUUUUCCAAUAUUGUCUCUAAAGCAACGCUAGUGGGAGUUUUGGCAUCAACAGGAGUGGAAAGACACUACGAUGGAACUCUCCAACUGGUAAUAAAUAUAAAUGGGAAAUCUAUGCUUCAUCCUCCUAUCAUGAGAUAUUUAUGAAAUUAAUCCUACUUAGGGUUAUUUAAGAGACUUGGUUGACAUGAUUUAUUAAAGAACAAAUUGUUCUUGAAUGUUAAGGAAUAUCAGCUAUACAUCAUCAACAAAAUAGUCAUUUCUCUUGUUGCUUUGCUAGUAAUUAACACUUUCUAGGAACUACACUUUGUGAAUGUAGUCCAUCCAAACUGGUUUCGUUUCCUUAUUUGGUAGUGCCAUAAUUAAUUUUUGAUUGUAAUAUGUUGGUAACCAUUUGACAAAGUGCAUUAGAGUUUCGCUAAACGCAGUUGUCCACGCGUGGCGACUACGCACAAUUUGGUGUGGGAUCCACUGUGAGUCCCACACUAAUUAUGGCUGACACUAGCAUUAAUUCUUCUUAUAAUAACCAUCGUACCAUCAAGUUAAUUCUCAGGUUGUUGUUGUUUUCAGAUGACGGCUGAGUUUCAUGCCCCAUCACCACUUGUUCCAACAAGAGAAAGUUCUUUUGCAAGGUAUUGUAAAAAUCUAGACAGUGGCUUGUGGGGAGUUGUUGAUGUGUCACCGGAAACGUUGCCCCAAUUUCCAUCAAGAAACUUUCGAAGACGACCAUCAGGCUGUUUGAUUGAAGAAAUGCCAAAUGGAUGCUCUAAGGUUACUAGACAUACUUAUGUUAAUUAGCAUGGUUGAGAAAAGCAUAGUGAAUUAAUUAUCAAUAGCUAAUGCAAUUAAUUUUGUUCAUAUGCUAGGUUAUAUGGUUGGAACAUGUGGUGGUGGAUAACAGACUGGUUCAUCAUUUUUUUCAGCCGCUGGUCACUUCUGGUUUUGCAUUCUGUGCAAGGCGUUGGGUUAACACUUUAAUUCAGCAUUUUCAAUGGUCUGCAACUGUAAGGGCUCCAAACAGUCCUACCGAUCGUGGCGGUAAUUAAUUAAUUAAAUCGCAAUUAAUUUGUUUCAUGCAUCGACUUGGAUUUAGAUGCACUAAUUAAAUAGCUAAGCUUUUUCCCAUUAUUUUGAAUAGUGAUUAUAGCACAACCUCAAAGAACAUUCUUCUUGAAGUUUUCGGAGAGAAUGGUAAAAAGCUUUUUCAUGGACAUCAGUGCUUCAAGAGAGAACAAAUGGAUGCCAUUUCCAGUGUCGGGUGCUGAUAUAAUGAUAUCGACAAAGAGUAGCACAGAUGACCAUGGGAAGAUUCCAGGUACCACAACAGUGUUCGCUACUUCCGUCCACCUUCCAGCCCCAAGUAAACAAGUAUUUAGUUUACUUCGUGAUGUCAAAUUUCGGAGACAGGUAUGUUUUCUGAAUUUUGAAUAUGCAAUAAUGUUUUUAAAUAUUUAUAUAAAAAAAAAAGAAAAGAAAAAAAGAAGAAGAGAGGAGCAUGCAAGUAGCUCUUAAAAGCGUACAUAAAGAUUACGUUGGUGCCUGGGAUUAGAUUGGAUAACUCAUAACAUUCAACGCAUGCUGAAGUAAUAAAUGAAGGCUGAGAUGAAAUUUUUUUCAUUCUGUCGGGAUUAUAAGGAUAAAUCUCAUUCAUGACUAAUCAAUCAUCUACCUUCAACUUGACAAAAUUUGAAAGCUUCACUUCAUUUCUUCAUUCAACAUACCUUGACUUUAAUGGGUUAUCCAAUCCAAUCCGAGACACAUACUUUAAUUAUACAAUCCUUUUAUCAUAAAGACAUCGAUCAUAUCUUCCAUUUAACUUGUGUAUUUAAAAUAGUGGGAUAUCUACGGACGCAAUCAUAGAUUCGAUGAACGUGCUUAUAUAAGCAAUGGUGACAAUCCAGAAAAUGGGGUUUCUAUAUUGCGAGCCAUUAAUGUGAGUUGAAGAUAAAUUCCAGUUUUCUUUCCCUUACCCUUUUAAAUACAUUUAAGCUUAAUAUAGAAUUGCUUGAUUUUAUUUGUUUAGGAUGAAACAAAGAAGCUUAAAGCAUUGUACAUGCAAGAGAGCUAUACAGCAUCGACAGGCUCAUACAUAGUUUAUGCUCCCUUUGAUUAUGAGCAUGCCGGGAACGAGUUGAUGAAGGAUGAAUGCAGAGACCAUAUAACUAUCUUGCCCUCAGGGUUUUCUAUCCUUCCUGACAGAUCGAUCCACCGGGACGAAACUGGUGGGAGUCUUUUGACCAUUGCCUUCCACGUCGUUGCUAAAUCACCAACUGAUGAACAUGAGCCUUCUAAUCAACUAGGGCUCCUUAUGCACAAUAUUAUCGCAAAGACUGUGAUGUCAAUCAAGGAGGCGCUAGGAUUCUCUGAUCUACAAAGCAACGACUAA
rnacentral:lncRNA from 1 species